UCGGAUGUGGUGUAAGCGCAACACUGUGGCUCUGAAUCAGCCAUUUUAAAAAUAACCGAAAGCCAUUAAUCCAGGUUCGAUUCCUGGCAUCCGAA